UCCGCCAGCCCCCCUCUCCCCCCGCCGGGGUGUGCGUGUGUGCAUCCCUCCUGGCAGCCUGACCCCCAGCCCGGGCUGACCCCCGGGAGCGGGGGGGGGGGGCGAGGAGGAUAAGCUGGGGGGGGGUGGGGGGGGUGGGGGACGCGGGCACUUCUGCAGGCGCAGCCCUUUCGCAUCAAGGUGUGCUGCAAUCCGGGCGGGCAAGGUUGCUUCUCCUUAACUCCUGCCUCGCCGGCCGCCGGCAGCGCUCCCCGGAGCCCCGCUCCCCCCGCUCAGGCUCCGCCGCUCAGCCCCCGCUGUACCGCGCUGCCUCCCGCCUUCCUCCCCCCCACCCACCAAGCCGCGAUGCAGCAGCGGGGAUGGAGUUGUAGUGGUGCUGGGUGGAGGGGGUGAGAGAUUGGCUAUAAGGAGAAGGCUGACGGCUGCAGCAUGAAGCGCAUUAUUACCUUGUGAUUCCAUGACCCUCCUCUAUGCAUCCCUAACUCUCGAAAGCUGAUUCAGCUUUCAGCUAGUGCUCUGGUGAGUCCUCUGCUGCAACAGAAGCUCCUAACUGAUGGCAUUGACAUGUAGCCUGAAGGGGCUACCGGGACACAAAGCUAAAGAUGGUUAAAGACAUUAAAAACUGUACAAUGAUGUGAGCACCGUCUACACCACGACCGUCAUCUAGGAGGAAGAUUCAUCCUGACGUAUUGGGCAGAAGACAGACUUUCUACUGGUGUUAUGUAUAGCUGUUGAGCCAACGGUAUUUUUGAGAUAGACAAAAAAUAUAUAUAAUCCCGCUACUAACCAUGCCUUUUCUAGUGGGUCUUUAUUGACUCUUGAAAAACUAUGACCAAUAAAUGUAAUGAUCUGCUUUCCCCUUUCUUUCUGGGUGAAGGAUAGCUCCUGCAGUGUGUUUAUCACUGAGUGCAAUGACUGGCUUGAGCCGUUCAAGUCUGACUCCACUUCCCAGCAAGCUAUUGAACGCAACGUUGCAGGGCCACCAGCGUUUCCCAGAUCCUGCCAGGGCUUCUGUUAAUAAUAAAUAUUGCACUCAGAAUAAGAUUGUAAGUCUUCCCAUAGGAUGGAGGGAAUUUGCAUUUCUGCAUUCCCUGAGUUUGGUGUUGUGUAAGUUGCUGUAAUUUACUUGCACAGAGAAUGGGCUUAAUACUUGUGUAUUUUUUUAAUAAGCUGCACAGAUCUUUCGUACAGUGGGUGCAGCUGGAGAGAUAGAGAACUGCCAAAGAGAGGGCUUCACCUGCAGGAAAACAUCCUCUACUUCCUCCAAAAGUGAUGAAAAUGUCAAUGCUAUUGACACAAUCCCUAAUUAAAAAUGACUGCCAUAAUCAUGCAUAUGAUAGCCGUAGGACGUUAGUUUGGAUUAAACAUAAACAGCGAGAUGUGCUGCACGUGUUUUCCAAAGGAAUAAAGGGCUGGAUGAUGGUAUCUUCUGUACAUCCAAGCAAGAACAGAAGGAUGUCUCAGCUCCUACGCACGGGCUGCUCCUCUGCUGCCCAGCCCCGGUGAGCUGUGCAACGGCGACUGCCUGUGCAGACUGAGCUAUUUGCAACCGCGAGAUAAAACGUGUCUGCGUGUACUUCUUUGGCUGAGGUUUAAGCAAACGUCCUUUACUUUGUGUUUGACGUGGACAGACAGCACGCGCAUGGCUGGUCGUAGCAGCUUGGCGGGUUCAUGCAUUACCUCAGUUACUGCGGCAGUGCUGAGCUGUAGUAACACCCCAGCCUGGGGUGUGGAUAAGUUCUUCUUUUUCUCCCUAGGAAUAAAAUCCUUCAUUUGGGGGUAUUCAGCAAAUGGAAUUACAACAGAAAAUAGCUUGUCAAUGCCCCAUGCAAAUUAUUUUCUUAUGCAAUUGGUCAGACUCUCUAUUUUAAUGUUCAUCUGCUCUUACCUUAUGGUUGUGAUGUUAAAGUAUGCCCAGGCAUCUCAGCGGGCUAUAGAUAGCUGUCUUUUAUUGUACAACACCAAAAAUAAACACUGGGAUGUUCCAUGUAGUCCCAGGGCUGCAAGGUAGGAUUGUACCACAGAGCUGGGGCUGAGCACAGAAGCACCACCUGAGCUGCUGUGCCUACGGGUGGGCUACAGCGAGCUGAGUAACUGCGUGGUGGAGGCAGAGCAUGGCCAGUCUUUCUCGUGAAGAUACAAGAGACUGAACGCCAAGGACUUCUUUUCCACUUCCAUGUGGAACAGGUAUUUCACAUCACUUAGCACCUCCCUCCGAUAACAUUUGCCUCUAGCUCUUUCUGCCCUCCACCUCUGAUGAAUUGUUUUGUGCUGUGCAUGACAGAUAGCUUCUGCUUUCUCCUUUUACCGCUAUAGGGGGGAAAAAAGAGUAAGAGAGAGAGAGAGAGACUUGAAACUGUUUCCCAAAUAUGCAAGUGUUCAGCCGUGAGCCGAUAUCCUGCCAGGGGUAAGAGGUGGCCCUGUGCUGCACUAGCUCAGGAAUAAAUAAUGAAUUAUCCUGCAGUCCCUCCUUGGCAUUGUGGAGGGAAUUAAUUUCUAUUCCCCUUCCGUAAGGCAGCUCAUUCUCCUGCUCCUGGGCUGCUCUUCCCCCAGCCUCUGCCACCCUCUUGCUGAGGGGGACACUUGGUGGCUGGACAAUUUACUGUGGGACAAUUAGCUGAUACUGGCUGCUCCUGCCCAUGACACUGGAUGGAAACGUGGUUGUAUUUCUCUAAACACCCACUCUAAAGAUGACAGCCUUGCUUUCAAUCUCUUUAGUGAUGAAACACAGCAAUGAAAUACAAGUGGACUUUUGUCUAAUACUGUGGCAGCAUUAUUCCCAGAUGGACAGUAAUCAUAGCCAGUUUGCCACAUCUACCUCGCAAGAGAGUUUGAGGGGUUUACAUAAAUAAAAGCUGGGAGGGGUGGGGAUGGGGGGUGUGACAUGUUGGUUGUUAAGUAUUAUGUAAAAUAAGUUAAGUAUUAUCUAAAAGUGGAUCACCUGGAAAGUAAAGGCAUAAUCCAUCUUUCCAUGGUGAGGAGCAUGGCCCAAUUGAGCCAAAAAAGCCUGGGAAGGACAAAACCUGGGACAACCCUUUGAGCUGGGACAUCUGUCAGUCACAGAAAGAAGCAGGAAAAGAAAAAAAAUAAAUAACUGCACCAUUUGUGCCAUAGGGCAAUGUUCAAUAGCCAGCACUUCCCAAGUCUAAUGAUCCUGACCCCAAAACUACCAUUGUAGAGGCUUAAGAGUUGUACCCUUCUUCAUUUUAAGCAGACAACAGAGCGUGAAGCAGUCAAUAAAAAAAGGGGAUUUGGGGAAACCGUGGAAUAGCCAGAAAGUACCUAUUGGCUAAGAGCUGGGCAGAGACCUAAACCGAAUCCAGACACCGUACCUCUUAAACCUGGGAGAAAAGUUGAAUCUGGAUCCAGAGCUUCUGCAUCGUGGCUCAGGUCCAUUGCUGACUGCUGCAGAGGAUUUAUCUGGCGAAUACGCCAGCCUGACUUUGCAGAUUCCCCAUGGGCAAAUGGCCCCUUGACGUCCGCGGGAGCCUGGCCUGCGUCAGGGCUGCAGAGAAGCCGGUGCUCGCUGAAGCCCACCCAUCGAUCUGCUGGCAGAGUUAUCGCAGGAUCCAGCCAACGCUCACCACAGCUGCACUGCCGGGUCUUUGGGCUUGUGUCAGGUUGUCAGACUACGAGGUGCAGUUAGGAAGGAGCUGGCAGGUCUCUUGGCCCUUGUUUUAGACACUGUUGGUCUCCAGAGCUCUUCUGCUUGCAGUUGUGGGUGCUUUUUGCUCUUCUAGAAUAGGCAGGGUGAGGCUGGAAAAGCCCAGUGGUUUGCUGCUUGCACUGCUGUUGAUGGAUGCAGUUCCAUGACUUUACUAAGGUAGCUUCAUCUCCUGCGAGUGAAGCGGGGCUUAAGCCUGGUAUAACACCCUGACUUCACUUUGGGCAUGGGCAUUUCAUUCUCAGCUGUGUUGGAAGUGCUAAAGACUUCCCAAUAAUACCUUUUCUUCAUUUUAAAACUUUGACUGUUAUAUCCAGCAUGCAGUUUGACACUGGAAAUUUUUAUGUGGGGUGUUAGUGGGUUUUCAAGCAUGAACAAAUUGAUUCAUGAGUAGAUUAAUCUGAUGCAUCUUUUAAAUGGAAAACUGACAUAAUUUUCCAUCAGAGACCUGCUAAUAAAGCACAUUUACUUAGUUAAUCUAUUUUUUUCUGUACUAAGUGCACUACGUAAGGUAUAAAAAUAUCGAAUCAAUAGCCAAAGAGUAUAUAAAAAUGAGACUGAGUGAUCAGAAACCAUGUGUGAGCCACCCUCUCCCUGGCUUCUUGGAGGACUCCGAUUUUUGUUUCUGCUGCUGAAAGACCCAUUCCCAAAGUCGCCCCAGGAUGGCGAGGCUGCAAAACCCCAGGUGUCCUUGCAAGUCCCAGAGGGGAGCGGGUACAACGAGCCACCUGCUUCCAGGGGUCUCGUGGCCUCAGCUCUCCUGCAGCCCUCCCUAUUUUUAGAAGUAGCUAGUUUGGAGGUAUUGGGGUUUUCUUUAUUAUUAGGGUAUUAUUAUUAUUAUUAGUAGUAAUAAUAUUAAUAAUAAUAAUUGCAGAAGGAACUAGGUAGCAGGAAUGUAUGUAAAAGACAAAGGCAUCUUCCAGUACAUUUGUGCAAGGAGCCCAUCCCAGCCUGCCAGGGAAUCUGUAAAACUCCCCUUCUUCAUUCCUCAGUUGGAGUACAGCAGUGUUAUUUCAAAGAAGAUGCCUGCACAGCCUUCUCUCUGCAAACACUGCAACCAUCAUUAUAUCAGUGCAACUCUCUCGUGUGAGCUAAUUUAACAAGCGGUUGCUUUGCAGGCUGUGGAGAAUUGCCUCUUACCUAAUAAUUCUGCUAAUUUGCUUAACUUUCCCAGAUUGCAAACAGCCCUACUCUGAACAAGCAGCUUUCUAAAUGAACCCCUAGACAAUUUCUUGACAAGGGGGGAAAGGAAAGGUGGACGGCUUGGGAGGUUGAAGCUCGUAGUCUUUUAUUUUUGACCUUUGGGCCAGCAUUCAGAUUUGCUUGUUGGGAAAACUACAUUCAGGAUAUAUUUUCUUCAGGGACUUACGUUACCCUUUUGCUUGUAAUUAUUCUCACUUGAUGUCUUCCAUAAAUUAAAGAUGCUUCUAUUAGUGAGUUCCAGUCCUCUCAAUUAUCUUGCUAAAGUCUCCUUAUUUGUGGCUGUGAGCUACACCACCAGGACUGCCGUCCUUGCAAAGCUCCUGGUCGGUGGCUACGGGCAGAGAAGUAAGGAAUUACAUGGGUAAUACAAAUGUCUGAGCAAUCCCAGAAAGAAAUGAAAACUGCAGUAAAGGUAAAUGUCAGACUAUUUAAAGACAAUGUUAACUAUUGAUUUUUUAGAGGAGACUAUCUCUUCAAAGGAUGGCAAGCAUGCCUUCAGAUACAGACACAGCAACCUGGAUGGAUGGGGUAGAGAGGGAGGCGAGUGAACUGGGAAGACAGAGAUUUUCCCGGAGAGCAAAAUGAACCCUUUACGAAGCCUUUGGGAUUAAAAAGAUGGCUUAGUUCUUUCACAGAGUCCACCCUUCAACCCAUUUAAGCACCACACCUUUUCCAAGAAAUGAAGGGCAAAGAAGCACUGAUGAGCAAUAAAGAGAUAAGCAGCAAAGUACUCGUUUCCCCGGUGUUUUCCAAUGAAAAAUGAACCCUCGAGCACGCCCCGUGAUCUAAGUGGCAAAGCUCACCCAAGUUCCUGAUUUUGCUUCCAGCAGAGAUGCUCAUUGCUCAUGCUCACACCCUGGAGCAACUCGGACUCCUUAGUGGCGCUCACUCUUCCCACCCACACCUGCCUGCACGUGGGGUGGGACCACCGCCGCUGCUGCGGGGACCUGCACUCGCUGCUGGUACGGAGAUCUGGGCAGCUGGCACAAAACGGGGAGCAAAACCAUCUUUCUCCCUGUACAUACAGCUAGGAACUUGUGGGAAAUCAUAAUCAACUUGGCAAUUUUUUAUUAUCCUUUAGUACAACAGGAUAGGCUAUGAUUUCAGAUGGUUUAAGAGAAAACCAAGCUUAGAAUUAAAAGCCUUGUUUUUUAAGAAAUACAUGUUUGUAUAUAUAUAUUACAAAAAAUAUGCAUAUAUAUGUACAUAUACAUUUUUAUAUAAAUAUUUAUAUAUAUAUAUAUACACACACUUGCCUUAUGGCCCAUGCUGUGACAUCCCUGCCAAAGCACCCAGGAGCAGAUAUUCCUGGCCUUGGAUGCAUGCAUCUGCAGGGAAUCGUUCCUUUCAAGCUGCAGCGCAGAGACGAUGCUAUACAUGGUGCUUUGGGAAAACGGCAUGAUAAGAAUUUAGUUAGGGGAUUUAAAGGUCUUCCAGACCUGCAUUUUCAAAAAGGGAAACUUCUUAUCUCGAUGGGUGUUUUGGAACAGGAGGAACGAAGGACCUAAUCCAGUGAAGUGUAAUGUCAGCGAGGGCAAAUUCAUUUUGCAUUUGGAUACAUUGCCUUUUUUAGAGGCUAAUUUGGGUCUUAAAAGAAAAAUUAUUAAACACAUCCACACAGCAAAGGAAAUGGGUGAUGUGGGGGUUCACUACUGACUGUGGCAGGUUUUGAAGUGGGUACACGAGAGGAACAGACCCUCCCGGCGCCUGUGUUUCCCCUCUACAAGUCUUUUGGGUGCUCCAGUUUGAAGAUCCCCAUAGGGCUUACAACCCUGGCUCGCCUGCUUUGGCAGCCAGCUCAAGCUGCAGAAAACCCCAGUUCCUGUUAGAUCCUAACCGCAGCGCAAUACGGUAUUACUGCCUGGGGUAACUUUUGGUUUAGAUGUAUUAUUUCAAUAAGGAGGUCUUCAGACAGUGUUAAAUGACAGACAAUAUAAUUUUUGAAUGUGAUGUUCAUCUGAAUUUUAUUUUCUGAUGUUUUGACUCAUUGACUUGAUGUCUCUCUAUUAUGCACACACCUCUGGAGAUGUUGCUGGCAAUGAUUAUGCGUAGCAUUGAGUUAGUGAAUAAAACCACUCCAGGAACUGCUUUACAGAUCACAGUAUCGUUUUCUCUAUAAUUGUCCCACAAACGGUGGAAGUUAUAUGGAGAGAGCAGUGUGCUCUGACAGACUGCAUAUUUUUGCAGUGUGCACCAGAUCUCACUUUGGCUUCUGAGACUUAUUUCUGAUGGUUCUUGGGGAUUUAACUUUAAGACCAAUGUAUUUUAGUAUCCAUAUACGCUCCACUGUUCAUGUCAUCCGGCAGCAACUGAGGAUGAGCUGUCUCCUUAAUAUGGAUGAGACACCAAUUUAUCUAAGUUAUCACCUCCCAAUCUCUCAUUCAUCUCUGCUGUUAACUGCUGCGUUUCUGACAUCCGUACCUAAACUAUCAGCAACUUCUUCUUCUUCUUCAAUUGAAACCAUAAGCAAUUUUUGGCUGGAAGUUCUUGUUAUGUAUGUAAUGGCUUCUGCUUCUCCCGGCUGGAAUUCAACCAUCAGGUGACUGAAUCAGGCUCCGGAUGCCGCAUUUUAAACCCACAACAUUGCAUAGAUCCAUGCAGCACACUAAAUCAAAAGUCAGGGUGUCUUUCCACCAUCUGAAAAUAUAUGACCAAAUUAACAUGUCCCAGGCUUACUUUGAAAAGCACUGCAGCCCCGGUUGCGUACGCCCAGGCGUUUGACUGCAAAGUCAGCAAUACUCUCCCCCUUCCUGAUGCAUCCCCAAACCAGUGAAACUUAGCCCCUACUCCUGGUAUUCUCUUUAUAGAAGGUCCCAGUGGUAUUAUGUAUCAAAUAAAGGUCUCAUUGCUUAGUUUCUGGUUCCUUCGUGCCGUUGCUCUCAUUAAUCAUCCUGUUCCUCAAGUCCGUGCUACAAGCCGUUAGGACUGUCUCGUUCCUCACCCCUCGGGCAGCGAUUCCCUCCCCUGCAGUUCCCCUGCCCCUUCGUGCUCCACGUGCCGCAGGAGUGCUGACCCGCUGGGCACCACUGCUGCUGGUCGGGCCAGUGCUGGAUGGCUGGGGACCUCUUGGCUGCGAGCUCUGGACUUCAGUCUUAAUGCAAAGAGAUGGUCUCCCCUUCCUGCCCAGCCUCGUCUCAGGGCACCUGGGGUUGCUCCCUCUGCCAAAUACCCCAAUGCUGUCAGCUUUGUGCCUUCUAGCUUCUCUAGACGCAGCCCCAGCCCCAGGCAAAAAGUAAAACUCUCUGUUUGUGCCCCAAAUCUCUUAAUUUCAUCCCCAUUUUCCCUCCAAAAAUUGUUAUGAACAACUGAAGACAUGGAAUCUGC